AAGGAUUUAAGUUAAACUAAACUAUUAACCUUCAAAGUUAAUUAUAAAGAAGGUGUCUUUAAGCCUUA
rnacentral:tRNA from 1 species